UCUGUAGCCCUGGCUGUCCUGGAACUCACUGUGUAAACCAGGCUGGCUUUGAACUCUCAGAUCCAUCUGCCUCUGCCUCCUGAGUGUUAUUAAAGUCAUGUGCCACCAUCUUCAACUUCCUGAUUUGUUUUUAACAGAGCAACAAUGGGGGUUUGGUCAGCUCUUCACUGUGGGAAGAUGGUAUUGCAAUCCUAUGGUAUUGUAUUUGUAACGUGGUGUUUAAUGGAACAUAGUUUAGAAAAUUCCUUCUGCAAGGGUAUUUCUAUAUCCUUUCCCACUUCAUUGGGUAUUUAACACUUUCACAUAAUUGCUACCUUCAGAAACAGAACUGUUUUUCUUCUGUAGACCUUCACACCAUGUGGUGAGUACUCCCUUAGCCAUUUUUAGUUUGAUUCUGUGGUCCUUUUCAUGGUUUUCCACUUCUAGCUCCAUGGUCACAGAACCUGGCCAGUGUCCUUCCUCUCUUCCUGUUAUUGGAAAAUUAGACUAUUUAUCUGGGCUAACCCACGCCUCCAUAUCACUAGCUGUCACCUUUCUACUCAGCCAUGCUCUACCUGUGACCACUCUGCACCCUGUUCCUUUGUCUAGAAGCUUUUUCAAUCACUUUACACUGCCAUACUCAUAUCAGUGCCAUCUAACUUUCUCCACUGCCAACAUUGUUGGAAGGGAGGGACCCAUAUUUUACUACUCCUUAUACUCAGUUAUCUUACUGAGCCUUAGGUCAUUCGAGAGACACAGCUGACAUUCAUCUUACCUACCUUAUUUUUAUUUCCACAGUGCACGAAAUGUACUUAGUAGAAAUGCACAUUUUGAAGUGGCUUACAUUAUGACCAUUAUUGAUUUCAGGGUUUUUUUUUUGUUUGGUUUGGCUUUCAGGCUUUUGUUGUUGUUGCUGUUGCUUUUUCUGGGACAGGGUUUCUCUUUGUAAGCCUGACUGUCCUAGUAGAACUCACUCUGUAGACCAGGCUGGCCUCAAACUCACAGAGAUCUGCCUGCCACUGCCUCCCAACUGCUGGGAUCAAAGGCAUGCAUCACUACCUCCGGCUCUGAUGUUAGUUUUUACAUGUAGAGGUUUAAUGUUAAAUUAUUUUUGUGCUUUAUGGAUAGUUUUAUAAGAUGAUUCUCUGGCGUUACUCCUUGGAACUGUGAACUAGCACUGCUGAGUGUAAACCGAGGCAUACAGCUUCCUCUUGAAGGCGGUGUUGAGGGUUGUCCUGACUUAGCUUUUGUCUGGGACGGUAGAGCUUGUUGGGCUGUUUGCUGUGCAGUCCAGUUUGCUAGUCAUGGUGAGUGAUCCUUGUCUCUUCUGCCUCCCUUUUCCCCUGUAGCUGCCACUGCAUUGUAUCAUCUGCAAUGUAAUGGUUUGGUUACACUGGAUUCAUAAAAGAAUGCCCUUCAUUGAGGUUUAGAUACAAUUUAUUUACUCUUUUUCAUUUUAGAUUUUGGUUGUGUUAUUUUCAAGAAAUACAGCAUAGCCCAUUUGGCAUUCAUGUAACUUCACUGAGUAUCUAUAGAUUGAGAAUUAGAUUUGAGAUAUUUAAAUUGUAAAGGAGUGUAUGAUUAAGACUAUGCUAUAAGGACUUGGGGAUAUAUGUAGCUCAGUUGAUAAGAGUAGACAUGAAGCUCUGGAUCCAUUCAUCAGUGCUUUAUAAACAGUAAUAGUGUAUGUAUCCUGUAGUUCCAAGAUAUAGAGACAGGUGACCAGAAGUUCAAGGUUAACUUGCUGCAUACCAAGUUUGAGGCCAGCCUGGGAUACAUGACAUGCAAAAAAAAAAAAAAAAAAAAAAAAAAAAAUGGAGCAGUAGUCUGAACAGUUGUGACAGUUUGAAUCUCAGCCUUCUAAAACUCAGGCCAGAGUCAUGGGGGUUUUGGUUGCUUUUGGGGGGAGGGGGUAAAGCUAUUUUGAAUGCAGAAAUGUGAGAAUCCUAGUAUUGAUUCAAAGCAGGAAUGGAGAGAUGGUACAGUGGUUAGCACUGGCUGCUCUUCCAGAGGACCCAGGUUGAAUUCCCAGCAACUACAUGGUGGCUCACAACCUCUGUGACUACAAUUCCAGGGCAUCUGGCAUGCUCUUCUGGUUUUUGUGAGCCUUCAUCAUAUGGUGCACAGGCAUUCAUGCAGAUAAAACACCUAUAGGAAUAAAAUAAAAAUCCUUUAAAACAAAAGAAAAGGACCAGGUGUAAUUGCAUACUUUUAUCUCAGCGCUGAAAAGACAGAUCUUUGGGUUCAAGGCUACCCUGAUUUACAUAGUGAGUUCUAGGCCAACCAGGGCUACACAGUGAGACCUUGUCUCAACCCCACCCCCAACAACAAAACCCACUGGAGAAAGUAAUAGUUAGGAUAGUAGAAAUUUUAUUGGAUUCAUCUAUACAGUAUUCUAUUUAUAUAAACAUUCUCUCUACCUAUUGCAUCAGGUGGAAAGCAGGGUGAGAUGUGAACUAAUGCAGAAAUGCUUAGCCAAUGGCAGCAGCAUCCCAUGGCUUCAAGUUAUCCCAGAAGCCCAGAUGUCCCCCAAGUAACCCCUCCAGUCUCUGCUUAGCUAAGUGAAGGGCACCUCAACAGAGGUUUUCCUAGCUGAUGUGUAAUAGCUACCUCCUGCCAUGGUUUUUCUCUUGCUGAACCCAUGUGAUUAUGCGAUAAGGCAGCUGCCAAGGUGUUUUCAGUUAACUUUCUCCCGUAUAUUCCUUAAUAAUUUGAGAGUCACCUCACAUGCCAGAGAGUCCGCUCAGCAUUUGAAAUAGUGUUGUGUUGAUUUGCUAUAUUUAAAUAUUGAGGCAGGAUGUGUGUGACACUAACGUUUUAAAAGUCAUUCUAACUAGGACACUACUCAGAAUGGUUUUAUUUUUCCAGUAACAUGAGUUGCUUUUUUGCAUUCAUGCACUUAAAAAGUUCAUUCUUAGAUAGAUCUUAAUAGCUACUCAGGUUUUAUUUUACAAAAUGUUUUUAUUACAUUUUAUUUUGUGUUUGCAUGUGGGUGUGCAUUUGGGCAUGUCCACAUGCCACAGAGCUUAAAUGGGUUCCAUGGACUGAACUUGGGCCAUCAGGCUGGUGGGUGCCUUAUCAUCUGAGCCAUCCAACUGGCCAUAAAUGGUCUAUUUAAAACAAAACAAAAAAACUUCCAGGGCUGGAGAGAUUGUUCAGUGGUCAAGAGCACUAACUGGUCUUCCAGAGGUCCUGAGUUCAAUUCCCAGUAACUACACAAUGUCUCACAACCAUCUGUAAUGCUCUCUUCUAACCUGCAGGGAUACAUGCAGCCAGAAUGUAUACAUACUAAAUAAAUCUUUAGAAAAAUUUCCCGUUGUUCAGCAACAUUUUCAGUGUUAAGCAGUUGUUUUUUUGCUGAUUGAUCAUAGCCCUAGCUUCCUCAUGGGUUCAUUUAGUCAAAAUAGUUUGAGUAUUCUGACACAAGUAGGUGGAAAGGAAAGAGGGAUAUUAUUUAGUCUCAGGGAUUUUCUUAAGUAACUGGUAAUAACUAAAGUAAAUUUUCCUUUCUAGUUUUAAGGUCUGUGCCGUACAUUCUGAUUGUCAGUGGGGAUGCCAGUUUGAUGCAUGCUGACCUCUACCAACAGGUGACUUCCAAAUUAAAAAACAACAAAAAAACCCUCAAUUUCUUGCCCCCUUUUUUGGGAAGAACCGUCCCCCAAUAAGAGGUAUAGAAUUGAUUUGAUGAGUUUUUGAAGGUUUAGGAAACAGUCAUGGUUUUUUCUUCAUCCUAAUUGAAGGAAUGUGUAACACUCACUUGUUAUGUAAUACUGACUAGAGUUGAAUGUGUGCAGCCUACUCACCCUUGACCUGUAAGCCUCUCUGGGACCUGUCACUACACUUCGGAAACUAACUUAGAGUUUUCAGAAAUGGAUAUUUUGCAGGGCUAGGUUUAACCCCAGCAUUCAGGAGGGAUAACCCACUGCUGAGGCUGCAGUUUUCAUGUAAUAACCUGUGGCUUCUGGGAGUUUGAUCCUCCCACACAGGUUACUACUGUUGAAGGGUUUUUUUUUUUGUUUUUUUUUUUUUUUUUUUUUUUUUUUUGGUUUGGUUUUUGGUUCUUGAGACAGGGCUUCUCUGUGUAGCCCUCGCUGUCCUGGAACUCAGAGAUCCCCCAGCCUCUGUCUCCUGAGUGCUGGGACUAAAAGUGUGGGCCUUUACCAGGGCUUUUUAAAAUUAGCUUAGAAAGUAACAGGUUUCCUUGGGGCCCUCUCUAUAGCAUCCUCCUACUUUUCACCCCUUCUCACUGAUCUGCCCUCUCCCUGCUGAUACCUGGGAGAGGUUCUUGCCACCAGAGUUGAGGACAUGGUGAAGUUAGUGAGGAGUGCGCACGUGUGCUGCAUUUGGGGUAUUCUUUUCAGUGUUGUCUUUCAGUUCCCUUACAUUUACUAUAUGCAGAUUAAGAUGUUUAUUAUACUUUAAGUAUUAAACCAUAUUUUUCCAAGUUUUCCAAUUGUUUUUAUUUUAUUUCACUCUUUCCCCCCUUUUAGACUCAAGCUUUAGUUGUUUUUAAAAUAAAAAUAUAACUUCCAUUUGGGUCUGGAUACUCUCAAUUUAAAAUUAUUUUAUUUGUUUAGAGAUAGAGUUUUGCUUUUAGUUCAGGACAACCUAAAACUAAAUAGCCUAGAUUGUCCUCCAGUUCAUGAUUUUUUUUUUUUUUUUUUUGCCUCAGCCCAGAAAGUGCUGGGAUUGCCAGCUUGACUGUCUCUACCAUAAUGGUCUCAACCUAUUUGAUUUUAAUAUACUUUGCAAAGUGUUCUUUCAUGAACUCCUGUUUACUUGGGGCUUUGUCUUAGCAUUCAGUUAUAUGUAUCAGUGUGUGCGUGCACAUGUAUGCUUGUGUGUGUGUUUUAGAAUUAAGUGAGCAUAUUUUUCUCAUUUCUUCUUCCUUCCAAUGUCUAGGGGUCUUCUGAAGCCCUUGGGAGCUCCAGACCUCGAUGUGAACCCAAGUACACCAUUUACCCUUGGUAGUAAAGGGCCGGGGACCAGAGUUAAGAAUGUGGCUUGUGUACUGGGGGUCUCUACUUCUGAAGUUCCCAGCAUCUACUCUGGAUAGCCAACUGAAUGUAGUCUUUGCUCUAUAAGACAAAGUGCUCUUUUCCCUUCACCUCCUCUCCCAGGUAAGGAUGGGCAUGUGAGCAGAGCCAGGGCAGCCAGAUUCCCGAUCGUCCUGUCUUAUUUAGAGCCACAGAACUUGGGACAAGUGUGCAGGGCUCCAUUCUGAGACGCCUCUAGCUGGUUGUGGUGGCGCACACCAGUAGGAUUUGCUGAAGGAGAUGCCUCUUAAGUCAGAUUCCUAGGCCUUCUGACCUGGUACUUUGGCCAUUCCUUUCAUUCUGAGAUUUCUCACUUCCUUCUAAAACACUACUUUCUUCUAGUAUCAGUUUAAGUUUUUCUGAAGCCUUUAAACAUAUUUGUGAAUGAAAAUGCAGGUCUAUAAAAUGCUCAAAUGUAAUUUUGUGUUGGUUUUCAUUUCAUUCGCACAGUAAGAAAUUAUAUUUAGUAUUAAUAAACAUUUAAAAUUUUUUUGGUUGGUUUAUAAGUGUUUGGCCUGCAUGUAUGUAUGUGUGCCAUGUGCAUGCCUGGUGUUAGUAGAGGUCAGAAGGCACUACUGGAUCCCCUGAACCGGAGUUAUGGGUUCUUAUGAGCCACUGUGUAGGUGCUGGGAACUGAAGUUGGGUUUUCUGCAAGAACAGCAGUACCCCUAAAUGCUGAGUGAUCUCUCUAGUCUCAAUAAGCAUAUGUUAAUUCAAGCAGAUAAUCAAAAUGUUUAUUGAAAAUGUCAUAUAUGCAUAUAAUGCAUUUUGGUCAAAUCCACCUGAUAUCACCCCCAAUACUUCCUUUCAAUUUUGAGUGCUCUUUUUAAACUGAUUUAUUUAUUCUAAUUUUAUGUGUAUGAGUGUUUUGCUACAUGUAUGUGCGUAUACUUUGUGCAUGCCUGGUACUGGCAGAAGCCAGAAGAAAUGUUGAAUUCCUUGGAACUGGAAUUGCAGACAGUUGUGAACCACCAUGUGCACACUGCGAAACUGAGCCCAGAUCAGUUGGCGGUGUGUGCAUGAGUGAGGCCAUCUCCUGGGGUAUGGGUGGCCUUGCAGAGGCUAUACCCUUGAAGAAAAUGGACUCUCCCUCUCCUGGAAAUCAUUAGUUGACAAUAUCUCUGAAACCAGCAGUGGGGUUUCAAGAUUUCCCCCAUCCACCCAUGCUGGGAUUUGGUUGACUUGAUCUUGCACUGGUCUUGUGCAUGCUGUCGAAGUCAUAUGAAUUCAUGUGUGCAGCUGUCCUGUGGUGCUUGGAAAAUACUGUUCUCUAGUCACCCACUACCUCUGGUUUCAAUCUUUUUGAACUCUUAUCCUGCUUAGAUUUCAGCUAAAGUCAUCUUGGGAGGAGGAACCUGAAUUGAGAAAAUUCCUUAAUCAGAUGGACUGUAGGCAAGUCUUUAGGACAUUUUCUCUAUUACUGAUUGUUGUGCGAGGGUCCAGCCACUCCUAGCCAAAUGGUCCUGGGUGAGAUAAAAAUGGAGGCUGAAAAAGCCUUGAAGAGCAAGCCAGUAAGCAGCAUUCCUCCGUAGCUUCUGUUCCUAAUUCUUGCCUGGGCUUCCUUCAGUGGACUGUGACCCAGUCACAGUCACAAGUCAAAGAAACUCUUUCCUUCCCAAGUUACUUUUGGCCAUAGUGUUUUAUCACAGCAAUAGAGCAAACUAAGACACUCCUCUUUCUCAAUGACCCCUAAACCUGGGGUGAGGACUUCCUGACUAGGACUCUGACCACACAGGAAGUGUGGCAAAUGGGUCUCAAGAAAUUCUAAAGCUUCUGUACAGCAAAGGAAACUUAUUUGAGUGAAAAGAAGCCUUCUGAAUGAGCAAAGGCUUUGCCAUCUGACACUGGAUUAGUGUUAUGAAUAUACAAAAAACUAAAAAAACUAAACAUCAAGAAAACAAAUCUCCCAGUUAAAAAUGUGCUGUGGAGCUGAAUAAAGCAUUCUCAAAGAAGAAAGACAAAUGGCUUUUAAAGCUGUUCAACCUCUUAAGCUGUAAUAGUCUCUAGCUGUAAUAGUUCUCUAGAGGAAUAAAACUGGUGUGUGUGUGUGUGUGUGUGUGUGUGUGUGUGUGUGUGUAUUAAAACUGGUUGUGGUGGCUCAUACUUUUAAUCCCAGCACUCAGGAGGCAGAGGCAGGCGGAUCUCUGUUAAAGUUUAAGGCCAGCCUGGUCUACAUAAUAGACUCUGUUUGAAAAACAAACAAGUCAGCUUUAAAAUAAUAACAGCUAAAUUACACCUAAGAUGCUGAAAAUUUAGUGCUUUAAUCUGGUUGCCUCAACGGUCAGAGUAGUCCCAUAACAGCUUUCUCUCAUUGGGGGCAAGAGCUGAUAUUUAAUCAAGCUUCAAGACCUCGGUGUGUCUCUAUCUGGUGCCAAAAGGAUCAAGAGCCAGUGGUCUCUAGUCAAUGAUGAAAGCUUAGAAACACUGAUAUCUGUGAAAAAAUCAGCAGCAGCAACAGGGCAAAUCAACUCUGCAAGAGGAGAAGGCAGAGGGAGCAAAAGGCAAGAUGGUAUUUCUUCUGUCACAGAAAGUUGCUGCCCACAAUUGGGGUAGGUCUUCCUACCCAUAUUGAUCAAGAUAACCAGGACAGGGGCUAGAGAGAUUGCUCAAGGGCAGGAGCUGUUGCUGCUCUUGCAGAGAACCUAGGUUCCAUUCCUAGCACACAUAUGGUGGCUCACAACCACCUGUGCCAGCAUCUAGGGACUCUGGUGCCUUUUCUGGCAUCCUCAGGCACCAGGUAUGCCUGCAGUGUACACACAUGCAUACUGGCAUUCACACAGACACAUAAAAGUCAAUCAGGACAUUUCUUCAGGUGCAGCUUCCAACUCAGGUGAUUCUAAUUUGUGGCAAGUUAACAUGAAAACCAACCAUAAUAUCCAUCAGCAAAGUUUGAGUUCAAUGUAAUUUGACUUUUUAUUCCACUCCAGUCAGAAUAAUGUUAGAAGUGGUAACACAUGCGACUGAAGCCGUGGGGUAAAGGGAGCACUCAUUAAUUGUUGGUGGAAGUGCAAAUUGCUGCAAAUUGGCAAUCACUAUGGAAUCACUGUGGAAUUUUUCUCACAAAAUGUUAGAAAUAGAACUGCCAUAUGGCCCAGCUACAUCACUCCUGGCUACAUACCCCAAAGACUGUAUCCUACUGCAGAGAUAGUUGUACAUCCGUGUUCAUUGCCACUUUAUUGAUAGACAUCCACCAGCUGAGGAAUGGAAAGCUAAAUUGUCGUACAUUUACACAUUGAAAGUUUAUUCAACUACAAAGAACAAUCAAAGCAUUAAACUCCCAGGAAAAUGGAUGGAACUGGGAAAUAACCUGAGGUAACCAAGGCUCAGAAAGACAAUGUUCUCUUUCACAAGCAUUCCUAACUUUGGAUUGCUAGAGUAAUGUGUUUAACUUGGAGUGCUUGUAGAGGCCAGGAAGCUAGAUAGGGCAUUAGAGAAAAAAGAAGAAAAAUGCAUUAAAGGUGAGGAGGGUAGACCAUAUUUGAUACCAAGGUGUAGGGAUGGAGAUGAAUAUUGGGUGUGGGGGACAGUGGAAAGGUUUACAUGAAAAUGGGGACAGAAAGAUAGGGAAGAGGCAAGGGUUAGCCAAAACUAAGGAUGCAUGAACCAUGUGGAAAUCUACAUGGUUUGUAAUAUUAAAGAAGGGCUGGAUUGGAGAUGCCUGCAUUAAAAAAAAUCCCAGUUCCUGGAGUGGGAUGCCUCCAUACAAGCUGUUGCUUAGAGAGGCCCCAGAGGCCACAAAAAUAAUACAGGCUCUUGCCUUUGCUAUUAUUGGUUGCUCAACAGAGCUAGAUGGUAAGAAUGUAUUGCUGAAGACACCACAGGGAGAAAUGAAGCUAGUUUUCAGUGUGGGAAGGCACUGUGCAGGCUGCUGGGAGAGAAGUCAACUGAUUUUAUCCAAACGUGAACCCUAUAAGCUACAGAAAUAACCUUCCAGGCCAGUGGACCUACAGUACAGUAGUAGCAUUGCCAUUAGGGGGUAACAACGAUUGUCUUAAUGGAUUUGAAGUUGGUUCCAUAGGAGGGAAUUCAUGCCUGGUACUGUAAACCUGUCCAAGAACUCACAGAUUGGGAGAUAAUGGGCCCUGGGGUAGCCUUCUACUGUUGUUUUGUUAAAUAGACAUGUUGUCAAGUUGCCUUCUAAAUAUGUUUAUUCCUAUAGGUUUAUGCUGCAGGCAGCCUCCGUCAAAGAGCCUUCUCUUUCCUUUAAUGUAGUGAUUCAUAACUGGCUAAAGGGCUGGUGAUACAAGCAACCAGAAGAGAUAAAUUGGAGCCUGAGACCCUGACUUGACUGGCCUAUGUACUCACUAUGUAGACCAUAUGGGCCUCAAAAAUCAUAAAGAUCCUCCUGCCUCUGCUGGGAUUAAAGAUCCAAAUGUAGAGCUCUCAGCUCCUUCUCCAGCACCAUGUCUGCCUACGUGCUACCAUACUUCCCUUCACGACAAUAAAAACCUCUGAAACGGGCUCAGAGGACAUUGGGAAGAGGUGGAAAGAAUGUAAGAGCUGGAGGAUUGGAACAGCUGCUGCAAACUGAUGUCUCCUGGACAGGACAUGGCUGCUCACACCUGACAUUACAGGGCUGUUGUUAUCUGCCCAGGAUGGAAUCUAUCCACAUUUCAUCAUGGACGAGAGAGGGACUCCUGAGGCCCCACCCCAUCCCAAGGAGUGGUUAGAAGUAAUGGUUGCAGGGGAGGGGAGAGGGGUGUCUCUUCAGUAGUACAGCCACUGAUAAGUUGCCCAUGCUCCAGUAAUUCCCUAACCAUGCUCGUGCAAGAAAACACAAUUAAACUCAGUGGAUCAUGGCUGGGGGGGGGGGGGUGAACACCCCCUUGUUGGAAAAAGGAAAGCUUUCAGUGGGAGAUGGAGGUUGACGAGGGUCAAAGGUGUGAAAAUGACCAAAAUGCAUUCUAUACAUUUAUGAAAUCAUCAAAUAAGUUUUUUAAAGCCU
ensembl:lncRNA